rnacentral:lncRNA from 13 species
CAACUCGGUCUCUUCACCACCUGGAAACUGACUCCAUUUUCAGCAUGCUGCCUCCUCAUCCUACUUCCCAUCAUCUUUUGUGGUUUAAUUUUUAAGCAGGAAAAUGUUCAUAUUGUCAGACAGACAAUGAUGAAUACUUGUCCUGUGCCAUCCUCCCCAGAGGGGGCAUUCCCUGAAACUGAUUUGUAUCAUCACUCGGCAUAUUUUCAUAGAUUUUGUACCUACAUACACACCAAAACAACACAUACCAGUGUUUCAUUUCACAUUGAUGCCAUCAUACAGAACAAAACCCUUUACAACUUGCUUUUAUAACUCCACUUUUUUUAAAAGAGUUGGCAUCUCGCUCUGUCACCCAGGCUGGAGUACAGUGACACAGUCAUAGCUCACUGCAGCCUCGACCUCCUAGAUUUAAGCAAUCCUCCUGCCUCAGCCUCCCAAGUAGCUGGGCUAAAUACAGGCACAUGCCCUGUGCCCCGUGCUAAAAGGCGCACGCCCUCUGCCCUGCCAGCUUCAGCCUUAUUCUCAAGGUUUAUUCCAGUUGACCUGACUGGUUUUAAUCCCUGUGUAGCAUUACCAUCAAGGAAUAAUCAGCUCUGGCUCCUCUCCUUCCUUCAGCUACAACCCUUUGCACCUGCUCCCAGAGCCCCAAGUCCUGGUCUCUCCACCUGCAAAACUUUCCCCACCCUCCCCGAGGGCUGCUGGCCUCCUCCCAGGACUCUGCAGCAGCUUCCAGCACUUGAAGAGGAGCUACAGCUGAUUAUUCACUGGAGAUUUCCCAGUCUGAGGAUGGCAUCUGUCUCCUACCUGGGUGCUACAGACACCAAUCCCGACCUUGGCUCUCGCACCAAAAUAAAGCCUAGAUUGGAAAGUUCAGAACAGCGGCUCCCACCUGUAAUCCCAGCAUUUUGGGAGACUGAGGCAGGAGGAUCACUUGAGCCCAAGAGUUCGAGACCAGCCUUGACAACAUAGUGAGGCCCUGUGUCUAUAUGUUAAAAAAUUAAAAAGAAAUUUUUUGAAAAGAAAGAACCAGAGACUUACAAUACACACAUUAGGAAGGCAUGGGCAGCAAGACACCACCACCGUCUCUGUGGCACCAGGUCUGUGGAGGGCAGUGUGACAAUAGCUCCUCAAAUUAAAACUGCAGACACCCUCCCGCCUGGCACAUCUACUUUCAGAAAUCUUCCUAAGCUGUACCCACCCACCAGCAGAUGACUCCUGUCCACGGAAGCCUUCAGCACCACUGUCUGCAAAAAAACAUUGAAAACAACCCAGAUGUCCCUCAACAAUGGCUACCUCAGUCAGGGACAGCCACACCACGGACGAGGGGCCCUAAAAAGGUGAGACCUUCCCAAGCCUUGGCGUUUCACAGAAGGGCACAGGGCACAGACCCUGGACAACUGAGGGAGCGUGUGUGCUUGUGAUGCAGGAAUCACUGUACGGGCCCAAAAGAGAUGGCAGAGAAGCAGCAGAAACACUUCCUUUUCACUGUAUGCAGUUUUUUCAUUUUGUGCAUUUUUUAAACCAUCAUUUAUUAUUAAACCUUUGCUUUUUGAAUCACCUGGAUGUAUCACCAAUUCCCCUCCCCCCCAAAAAAAGGGAAAAUAAAAAUUUUUUAAAUAUUUCUAAAUUCCUAAUC